UCUCAAAGAAGCGCGGGUCCUCCACGUCGGGCACCACGGGGAACAGGCGCUCGGUGGCGCGGUUGGUCUCGAUGAUCACGUGCUGGUUGAACUGGCGCGUGUUGAGGCCCAGGGACUCGUAGAACUUGGUGCGCUGGUGGUCGUUCAGGUACAUGGUGAUGUAGACCGACAGGCAGAAGAACUUGGACCAGAGCUUGGCCUCAAAGGUGUUGAGCAGCUCGGGCUUGGCCUUCAGGCAGGCGGCCAGGAAGUCGCCGUGGCGGUUCUCGUCCUGUGUGGGGAGGCAGGCGGGGUGAGGCGGGAAGGCAUCAGGAGCAGUCGUGGGGACGAGGCAGGCGAUGUGUGCAACAAAGCAGGCAGGGCAUCGACGACACCCAUCCCUACCCGUCCCUCACCCCAUCGCCGGCCCCGGCUAACACCCAGGCGCCAGCCGCCCUCCCCUCCCUCCCCUCCCCCACGCUUCUCCCCUCCCCUCAGUCGCCCUCACCUGGCACCAGUUCUCAAAGUACUCGAACAGCGGGUAGAACUGGUUGUCGGGGUUGCGCUGCAGGUGGCGGUAGAUGGUGAUGUAGCGCCAGUAGCCAAUCUUCUCCGACAGGAAGGUGGCGUAGAUGAUGAACUUGGGCUUGAAGUAGGUGUAGGUGCGGUUCUUGGUCAGGAAGCCCAGGUCCAGGGCCAGGUUGAAGUCCGACAGGGCCUUGUUCAGGAAGCCGGCGUGGCGGGCCUCAUCGCGAGACAUGAGCAGGAACCUGUGUUGGUGCGUUGCCGGGGAGUGAGGGUUGAGGCGGUGGAGGGUGAGGCUGGGUUGGGGUGAGGUGGGCAAAGGCGCAGGGACGCCGUUGCCGACCGACCCAGAUCGCCUGCCUCAUUCGGCGCCGUCUGCGUUUCCAUGCAUCUACACAGUCCCCGGCUGCCGCCGUCCCACACCAUCCAGCCAGGCAUCCCCGCCCCGCCCCGCCAACCCGCAAAAAUCCCACCCUCGUACAAACGGCAUUGAUCGCAUCCGCACAGCCGGCCAGCCGCGCGCUCGC
rnacentral:lncRNA from 1 species